AAUGAACGUUAGCGGCGCGCCUGAUGCAUGCAAGUCGAACGGUUCCGGCGCAAGUCGGAAUAGUGGCAAACGGCUGAGUAACGCGUAAGUAACCUACCUCUAAGUACGGAAUAACCUGCCGAAAGGCAAGCUAAUACCGCAUGUGCUGUAAGAUUUAUUUUUUCAGUAAAGCUUUUGCGCUUAGAGAAGGGCUUGCGUCUGAUUAGCUAGUUGGUAGGGUAAUGGCCUACCAAGGCAAUUAUCAGUAGCUGUUCUUAGAGGAAGACCAGCCAGACAGGGACUGAGACACGGCCCUGACACCUACGGGUGGCUG
rnacentral:rRNA from 1 species